rnacentral:lncRNA from 1 species
GGCGGAUUCAGAGGGGGGCGUAGAGGGCGUACGCCCCCCCCCCCCCUUUUGCUUGGACUUUUUUUUUUUUUUUUGGAAAAUAAUUAACUAGACUAGACUAAGUGAAAUUUGCCAUUUCCCGUGUAUUUUGUUUUUAUGCGACAAUUCGUUACUUAUACAGAUAUAUUUUACUCGUAUUUACUGUAAUAUGUUAUUGGUCAGUAUGUCAAAGUCAUGUGAUUCGCUACGCUGGAGUUAACCAGUGCGUCGAAAAACGUCACUCAGUCAUUUCCAAAUUCAAAUUACAGUAACAAAUUGCUUAUGCUGCUCAUCAAGGGUGACAAGCAUGACA